CACAGAGGAACUUGUUCCUUGGGUGGCGAGCGGCGGACGGGUGAGUAAUGCCUGGGAAAUUGCCCUGAUGUGGGGGAUAACCAUUGGAAACGAUGGCUAAUACCGCAUGAUAGCUUCGGCUCAAAGAGGGGGACCUUCGGGCCUCUCGCGUCAGGAUAUGCCCAGGUGGGAUUAGCUAGUUGGUGAGGUAAUGGCUCACCAAGGCGACGAUCCCUAGCUGGUCUGAGAGGAUGAUCAGCCACACUGGAACUGAGACACGGUCCAGACUCCUACGGGAGGCAGCAGUGGGGAAUAUUGCACAAUGGGCGCAAGCCUGAUGCAGCCAUGCCGCGUGUGUGAAGAAGGCCUUCGGGUUGUAAAGCACUUUCAGUAGGGAGGAAGGUGGUGUUGUUAAUAGCAGCAUCAUUUGACGUUACCUACAGAAGAAGCACCGGCUAACUCCGUGCCAGCAGCCGCGGUAAUACGGAGGGUGCGAGCGUUAAUCGGAAUUACUGGGCGUAAAGCGCAUGCAGGUGGUUUGUUAAGUCAGAUGUGAAAGCCCGGGGCUCAACCUCGGAAUAGCAUUUGAAACUGGCAAGCUAGAGUACUGUAGAGGGGGGG
rnacentral:rRNA from 1 species